rfam:Gossypium raimondii Chr09_contig_1612, whole genome shotgun sequence.
AACCCACUAUGAGAACACCUUAUUAAAAUAUCCUUAAAUCUCUCUCAUGCAUCAUACAGUGUCUCAACCUCAAAUUGAGCAAAAGAAGAGAUAUCAUUCCUCACCUU